rnacentral:rRNA from 1 species
UACGUAGGGUGCGAGCGUUAAUCGGAAUACUGGCGUAAAGCGUGCGCAGGCGGUGAUGUAAGACCGAUGUGAAAAUCCCCGGGCUUAACCUGGGAACUGCAUUGGUGACUGCAUUGCUGGAGUAUGGCAGAGGGGGGUGGAAUUCCACGUGUAGCAGUGAAAUGCGUAGAGAUGUGGAGGAACACCGAUGGCGAAGGCAGCCCCUGGCCAAUACUGACGCUCAUGCACGAAAGCGUGGGGAGCAAACAGGA